UACGUAGGGCGCAAGCGUUGUCCGGAAUUAUUGGGCGUAAAGAGCUCGUAGGCGGUCUGUCACGUCGGAUGUGAAAGCCCGGGGCUUAACCCCGGGUCUGCAUUCGAUACGGGCAGACUAGAGUGUGGUAGGGGAGAUCGGAAUUCCUGGUGUAGCGGUGAAAUGCGUAGAGAUCGGGCGGAACACCAGCGGCGAAGGCGGCAUCCUGGUCCUGUUCUGACGCUGAGGCGCGAGAGCGUGGGGAGCAAACAGG
rnacentral:rRNA from 1 species